CACGAGGGUCUCACUGUCUUAAGGAAAUUUCCAGUGAAAUUGAAUUUGUAGUGAAGAUGCUACAUCCAAAUUGUUAGACAAGAAGUCCCCAUGGAACUUUACUGGAGACUUAUGUGGCUUAAAUUAAGUUAUUUCUUACAAAUAAAUAGUUUUAAAAUGUGGUGUUAACCCCUCGGAUUAACUAGGGUUAUAAAAGCUCACUCUUUUAUUUAAAGAAAGCCAACUCAAAACUUUAUGUCUUUGGGAUUUUGAUAAGUGGGACAGUUUGGUUGGGGCGACCGCCUUUAAAAAAGUAACGAAGGCGGGCUUAAGAUACAUAUUUAGUGAUGUCUGACUGCCAAGGGGAGAUCCUGAGCAGACACUUACUUUUUAGGUGGGUUUAAGUGACCCGUUGAUUUAGGGUGAAAUAGUUAACGAUAAACA
rnacentral:rRNA from 1 species